rnacentral:tRNA from 1 species
UGUGGCAGAAUAGUGCGGNGGACUUAAACCCCAUAAAUAAAGUGCAACUUUCUUUANAA